AUUGAACGCUGGCGGCAGGCCUAACACAUGCAAGUCGAGCGGAUGAAGGGAGCUUGCUCCUGGAUUCAGCGGCGGACGGGUGAGUAAUGCCUAGGAAUCUGCCUGGUAGUGGGGGAUAACGUCCGGAAACGGGCGCUAAUACCGCAUACGUCCUGAGGGAGAAAGUGGGGGAUCUUCGGACCUCACGCUAUCAGAUGAGCCUAGGUCGGAUUAGCUAGUUGGUGGGGUAAAGGCCUACCAAGGCGACGAUCCGUAACUGGUCUGAGAGGAUGAUCAGUCACACUGGAACUGAGACACGGUCCAGACUCCUACGGGAGGCAGCAGUGGGGAAUAUUGGACAAUGGGCGAAAGCCUGAUACAGCCAUGCCGCGUGUGUGAAGAAGGUCUUCGGAUUGUAAAGCACUUUAAGUUGGGAGGAAGGUCAGUAAGUUAAUACCUUGCUGUUUUGACGUUACCAACAGAAUAAGCACCGGCUAACUUCGUG
rnacentral:rRNA from 1 species